UCUAUUAUCUACACAGAAAUCUUUUCAAGCGUAUCUGUUUGAAUACAAGUUUGACUAGGAGGUCCCUAGGAGCCUCUGUCUCUGGAGGCAGAGGCUCAAUGUCAUAGGGUGGUCACAGAGUUAUCAUUUUUAGGGGUGUGGUGGGGUGGGACUGUUGUUGAAGUAAAAGGAGGAGGGUUAGACCUGCCCAACUAGAGGUUUCUUCUAGUUUUUAUAUUUUUAAGACAGUUUAUUAUUAUGUGGCCAAUAAACCAGCAGGUGGCACUACACAACAAUUUUACACAGGCAAAAAUAAGCAGAAUGUGAUCAACACUACUCUGACAAUUUACACAAACAAGAAGUGACCACUUUAAAGACAGAAUGCCAAGAACAAUACAAUAAAUGCUAAAGAGAAAGAGUGACAAGAGUGAGCAACUACAGAUAAUGCAGUCAUGGAACCAGAAAAAGAGAUUCACAGCCUUACAUCAGGGGAAGGAUUUUGGCAGGUGUCUGAAAAUGUGUCUUGAAACAUCUCUGUAGACAAGACUGAGAAAGUUCUUUAAGUAUUAUAGACGUGAUCCUAAGGAAGACAGAAGCAGCCCAAGCCUAACUUAGAAUCAUAAGAAAAUCACAGAGAUGGAGGCCGGGCACAAUGGCUCACACCUAUAAUCCCAGCAUUUCGGGAGGCUGAGGAAGACGGAUCAUUUGAGACUAGUCCCAGCUACUCGGGAGGCUGAAGCAGGAGGAUCGCUUCAGCCCAGGAGUUUGGAAGUUUGAAGCUGUUGUGUGCUAUGAUCGCACCUGUGAAUAGCCACUGCACUCCAGCCUGGGCAACAUAAGACAAUCUAUGAAAAUCUUCCAGAACUACUAUUUCCAGAAAGACACUCUGGGAAGUACAGCUUUUGACUGAUAAGGAAAAGAAAUUGAGAUGCAUGUUACACCCUCCCAAAGUCUGAAAACCCUAAUUAUUCAGCUCCAGAGAGAGGCAAGUGCAGCACAAUCAAAUGAGUGUUGAGAAGGAAAGAGUUUCUUGGAAUCGCAAGGCCACCUGAUCGAUGGUAAACGUCCCACUUACUUG